rnacentral:lncRNA from 1 species
CCCUAGCCCUGGUUGCCGGGACCAUGGGAGAGUUCUAGCGAUUUGGACCGGAACAAGCUCUUUCCCACUUACCUCUGGCAACCCCCACCCCCGCCCUAGCUGGCCGUCAGCGGCAACGUCACCUGCUUGCUAGAGCGCAAAGGCUCUGGCGCAAUCACAGGCCUUGGAGCGGAGUGGGUGUCUCACAUUCGGCGAAAGUGACGACAGCGCUGAUGAAGGUAAUAAUCACUUUGUACGUUCACUCCACACCCCAGGCGGAGGCCCUUUCUACUCAUUCCAGUCAAAUUACAAAGAUAGUGAGACUGUAUGUUGUCUCAGUAGGUAAUGAGUAACCCCUCACCUAAGGUGCUAAAGAAGGGGCCAUGAAGGUUCUUGUUCAGGCAAAGAUAACAGCUUUGUGUGGGGAAUUUAAACAAUUCGUUUCUCCCUACAGAAUGAGGGAAAGCGGGGAUUAACAAUGUAAGCCCGAAUUCAUUUGUUUAAAUUAUAUUCUUGUCCUUCCUAUGUAUGCUGGAUCAUGCUUAAAGCAAAAGCCUUAAGGGAAAAUUGUAAAGAUAUUGCAAUACUGUGUAUAAAUAAGAUUCAGCUAUAUUAUAAAAAUGUGGAGGAGUUCUUUAAACUUUGAUCCUAUACUUAAAAUUCUGAUGUUUGCAUCCUUUCUCAUGAGAAGAAAAUAUAUUUUCAGUUAAAAUGAAAUAAAAUUUGGAGAUGUGUAAUGGCACAUUGUUUCUCACUUGAAUGUCCCCCAAAACCUAGUGUACUUACUCCAUAGGUUCCAAACAAAAUAAUAUGUGUUUUGGCAAUUAUCAACAUUUUUAUUCAAGUGGAAGCUGUACAGACAUAUAGUGAGUUGAAUAGAACCCUUUUCACAUACACCUCAAUUCAUGUCCACCCAAUACCUAGAUUGUGACCUUAUUUGGAAAUAAAAUACUUACAAAUACAAGUAACAAAAUUAAAAUGAGGCCAAACUGAAUUAGUGUGGGCCCAAAACCCAAUCAUUGAUGUCUUUGUAAGAAGAGGACAGGCACACAGAAACACACAGGAGAAAAAGACCAAAUGAAGGAGGCAGAGAAAUAGGAGUGGAAGCUACCAGGAACUGAAGGAGCCACAAAAGUUUCUUCCCUAGAUCUUUCUGAGGGAGGAUGGCCCUCCCAAAACCUUAAUUUUGAACUUCUAGCCUCCAAAACUAUGAAAGAAUAUUUCUGUU